AGGCAAUUAGUUUAAAAAAACGUUUGAUUUCGGCUCAAAAGUUUGCAGUUAAAAUCUGUGAUAGCCUG
rnacentral:tRNA from 1 species